GGUCUUGUGGUCUAGUGGUAUGAUUCUCGCUUAGGGUCCACCCUAAUCAUCAUUGCGAGAGGCCCCGCGUUCGAUCCGCGGCAAGACCC
rnacentral:tRNA from 1 species